rnacentral:sRNA from 1 species
GAACCUCCGGGGGCAAGAGGUUCGACCCGAGCGAAGCGAGAGAACGUUGCGUCAGCAACGGCCCGCAGGGCGAGCCAUCCUCUAUCACCGGCAG